GCCCGUCCUUAGCUACGCGUUAAGUGUGCCGCCUGGGAGUACGCCGCAAGGCUAAACUCAAAGAAAUUGACGGGGCCCGCACAAGCAGAGGAGCAUGUGGCUAUUCGAUGCACGCGAAGAACCUACCUGGGCUUGACAUCCAGCUGCACGGCGCAUGAAAGUGCGCCUCCUUCGAGGUGCUGGACAGGUGCUGCAUGGCUGUCGUCAGUUCGUGCCGUGAGGUGUUUGGUUAAGUCCACCAACGAACGCAACCCCUAGUCCGUGUUGCCAACGGGUAAAGCCGGAACUCGCGGGCCACUGCCGGUUCACGCCGGAGGAAGGUGGGGAUGACGUCAAGUCAGUAUGGCCCUUACGCCCAGGGCUGCACACGUGCUACAAUGGCCGGUACAGAGGGAAGCGAAGCCGCGAGGCGGAGCCAACCCCAGAGAGCCGGCCCCAGUUCGGAUUGGGGUCUGCAACUCGACCCCAUGAAGUCGGAUUUGCUAGUAACGGCGUAUCAGCUACGGCGCCGUGAAUGCGUUCCCGGGCCUUGUACACACCGCCCGUCACAUCAUGAAAGCCGUCUGCACCCGAAGUCGGGCAUUUGUCCGCCUAAGGUGUGGCUGGUGAUUGGGAUG
rnacentral:rRNA from 1 species